rnacentral:rRNA from 1 species
UACAGAGGUCCCGAGCGUUGUUCGGAUUCAUUGGGCGUAAAGGGUGCGUAGGCGGCUGGGUAAGUUUGAUGUGAAAUCCUGGGGCUCAACCCUGGAACUGCAUUGAAUACUGCUCGGCUAGAGUACUGGAGAGGAAACUGGAAUUUACGGUGUAGCAGUGAAAUGCGUAGAUAUCGUAAGGAAGACCAGUGGCGAAGGCGAGUUUCUGGACAGUUACUGACGCUGAGGCACGAAGGCCAGGGGAGCAAACAGG